UCUCCGUAGGUGAACCUGCGGAGGGAUCAUUACUGAGUGAGGGCUUCGGUCCGACCUCCAACCCUUUGUGAACCAAACUUGUUGCUUCGGGGGCGACCCUGCCGUUUCGACGGCGAGCGCCCCCGGAGGCCUUCAAACACUGCAUCUUUGCGUCUGAGUCUUAUAUAUGAAUUAAAUCAAAACUUUCAACAACGGAUCUCUUGGUUCUGGCAUCGAUGAAGAACGCAGC
rnacentral:misc_RNA from 1 species